rnacentral:rRNA from 1 species
UACAGAGGGUGCAAGCGUUUGUUCGGAAUUACUGGGCGUAAAGCGCACGUAGGCGGCUUUGUAAGUUAGAGGUGAAAGCCCCGGGGCUCAACUCCGGAAUUGCCUUUAAGACUGCAUCGCUUGAACGUCGGAGAGGUGAGUGGAAUUCCGAGUGUAGAGGUGAAAUUCGUAGAUAUUCGGAAGAACACCAGUGGCGAAGGCGGCUCACUGGACGGACUGUUGACGCUGAGGUGCGAAGCGUGGGGAGCAAACAGG